UACGUAGGUGGCAAGCGUUGUCCGGAAUUACUGGGUGUAAAGCGCGUGUAGGCGGGAGGCCAAGUCUGCUGUGAAAUCGCCCGGCUCAACUGGGCGGGGUCGGUGGAAACUGGUCACCUGGAGGACGGUAGAGGCGAGUGGAAUUCCCGGUGUAGUGGUGAAAUGCGUAGAGAUCGGGAGGAACACCAGUGGCGAAGGCGGCUCGCUGGGCCGGACCUGACGCUGAGACGCGAAGGCGUGGGGAUCAAACAGG
rnacentral:rRNA from 1 species